GCCUCCCGUACCUACUGAGCUGAAACACAGUUGAUGUCGUGGACACUGGCUCAGUUCAGCAGGAACAGGAGU
rnacentral:pre_miRNA from 1 species